UGCCCUUGUAGCUCAGCGGUAGAGCACCCCCUUGGGAAGGGAGAGGUCUCGGGUUCAAGUCCGCGGGGCAU
rnacentral:tRNA from 1 species